AAAUUGAAGAGUUUGAUCAUGGCUCAGAUUGAACGCUGGCGGCAGGCCUAACACAUGCAAGUCGAACGGCAGCACAGAAGAGCUUGCUCUUUGGGUGGCGAGUGGCGGACGGGUGAGUAAUGUCUGGGAAACUGCCCGAUGGAGGGGGAUAACUACUGGAAACGGUAGCUAAUACCGCAUAACGUCGCAAGACCAAAGUGGGGGACCUUCGGGCCUCACACCAUCGGAUGUGCCCAGAUGGGAUUAGCUAGUAGGUGGGGUAAUGGCUCACCUAGGCGACGAUCCCUAGCUGGUCUGAGAGGAUGACCAGCCACACUGGAACUGAGACACGGUCCAGACUCCUACGGGAGGCAGCAGUGGGGAAUAUUGCACAAUGGGCGCAAGCCUGAUGCAGCCAUGCCGCGUGUAUGAAGAAGGCCUUCGGGUUGUAAAGUACUUUCAGCGGGGAGGAAGGCGGUGAGGUUAAUAACCUCGCCGAUUGACGUUACCCGCAGAAGAAGCACCGGCUAACUCCGUGCCAGCAGCCGCGGUAAUACGGAGGGUGCAAGCGUUAAUCGGAAUUACUGGGCGUAAAGCGCACGCAGGCGGUCUGUUAAGUCAGAUGUGAAAUCCCCGGGCUUAACCUGGGAACUGCAUUUGAAACUGGCAGGCUUGAGUCUCGUAGAGGGGGGUAGAAUUCCAGGUGUAGCGGUGAAAUGCGUAGAGAUCUGGAGGAAUACCGGUGGCGAAGGCGGCCCCCUGGACGAAGACUGACGCUCAGGUGCGAAAGCGUGGGGAGCAAACAGGAUUAGAUACCCUGGUAGUCCACGCCGUAAACGAUGUCGACUUGGAGGUUGUGCCCUUGAGGCGUGGCUUCCGGAGCUAACGCGUUAAGUCGACCGCCUGGGGAGUACGGCCGCAAGGUUAAAACUCAAAUGAAUUGACGGGGGCCCGCACAAGCGGUGGAGCAUGUGGUUUAAUUCGAUGCAACGCGAAGAACCUUACCUGGCCUUGACAUCCAGAGAACUUAGCAGAGAUGCUUUGGUGCCUUCGGGAACUCUGAGACAGGUGCUGCAUGGCUGUCGUCAGCUCGUGUUGUGAAAUGUUGGGUUAAGUCCCGCAACGAGCGCAACCCUUAUCCUUUGUUGCCAGCGGCUCGGUCGGGAACUCAAAGGAGACUGCCGGUGAUAAACCGGAGGAAGGUGGGGAUGACGUCAAGUCAUCAUGGCCCUUACGGCCAGGGCUACACACGUGCUACAAUGGCGCAUACAAAGAGAAGCGACCUCGCGAGAGCAAGCGGACCUCAUAAAGUGCGUCGUAGUCCGGAUUGGAGUCUGCAACUCGACUCCAUGAAGUCGGAAUCGCUAGUAAUCGUAGAUCAGAAUGCUACGGUGAAUACGUUCCCGGGCCUUGUACACACCGCCCGUCACACCAUGGGAGUGGGUUGCAAAAGAAGUAGGUAGCUUAACCUUCGGGAGGGCGCUUACCACUUUGUGAUUCAUGACUGGGGUGAAGUCGUAACAAGGUAACCGUAGGGGAACCUGCGGUUGGAUCACCUCCUUACCUGAA
rnacentral:rRNA from 1 species